GCCGCCCUAGCUCAGCUGGUAGAGCACCUGAUUUGUAAUCAGGCGGUCAGCGGUUCGAGUCCGCUGGGCGGCUCCA
rnacentral:tRNA from 3 species